UAGUAUGAUCCUCUCGAAAUCCUGUAUACAUAAGGAACUUUUCUAAUAACUAUUAAUUUGAUUAAACUUUCUAAUUUAUGAUUGUAUAAUCUUGAAAACAAUUGCAGCCAUGGAAAGAAUUUUUGUUGACCGAUCAAAAAGGAAUGUUCGUGAUACAUCAAGGUUUUUUAUGAAUACUUUUUUGAAUUUAUAAUAUUGAAUCAUGUUUUAUUGAUUCAUGAUGAUGUCUAUAUAUGAUAUAUAUAAUUUAAACAGGAACUGAGAUCUCACAUGUAAUUAUAUUGUAAUUGCAGUAAUUUUUAAGAAGCUUAUGAUGGGAGCAAGAAUUUUGGACUUUACCUCCUCUCUAAAUGAAUUUAGUUUAAUUAAUCAACUAAGAAAUGAGCAGAGAAGCCCAUAAUCUGUGUUGAUUAAUCAACUUAGAGAGGAUAAAAGAAAGAAAAAGUUCACAGCGAACAGCAAAGCCGACCAACAACACCAUGUUCUUUUGUGACGAAGUUUCAAUGGGGUUGGACAUGGAGAGCGCUACUUUUCGAAAUGUUGUGAAUACAGGGUGUUAUGUAAAAUUAUUUAUAAAUGUAUGACUAGAAGGUCAAAAAUAAUAUAUUUACAAUAAAAUAUUUUGAUAUAAACUCUUAGUGAUCAGAUUGUGAAAUGUAUUAUGUUUGUAGCUUGUAUAAAAUACAUCAAAAAUACAAAAAUAACAAAAAAUUCACACAUAAUUUUUUAGUAUUGCGCACUUUAAUUUUGUAUUCUCUUGUUACUUCGACUGUCAAUUCCUGUAAUUUAUAGUUGUUAAGUUUACACAAUUUCGAAUGAUUUUGCUUAAAUCUUGUUUAUAAAAGAUAAGAUACAUCAAUACAAUGUGAAUUAAAAUGCGAUAGCAAUGUAGAAUGUACAUUUAGAUUAUUUCGCUAAUCCAUAAAGAAACAUGCGGAUUAAAUAGCAUAUUUACAAAUAAAUUAAGCAUGUGCGUUUAUUUCUAUACAGUUUAUUUAAUUGUGUUGUCUUAAGUUCAGCUAUCCCAUCACUUUCGAAAAUAAUAAAAUGAGUUGUGGAUAAAAGUUCGAGAAUUUUAUUAAAUUUUAGCGACGGAUUUUGUAAGAUUGUUCAAUAUAUUUUAAGAUGUUUGAAAUUUCAUCAAAAUUCAUUAAAUUUUAUAAUAUCGUACUUAAAUCUUAAAAAUUCUCAUUAACUCUACAACAUUUUAUCAAGAAAUCGUAUCAAAUCAAAAUCAGAUUAAUCUAUUAAUAUGCAUACAUUAAAAAUAAUUUAUUAAAAUCUCAAUUGUAUAUCAAAAUUAAAGAUGCUUUUACUUAACCGUCAGUAAUAUUUUUUAUAUCAUUGAGAUAAUUCAAACAUAUAUUUCCUAAAAAUCAUAAUAGUCGAAAAGACGUGUACAAACUGGAAAGAAAUCUUUAAAAUUAAUAUCAACUCAAACAUUUAUUUUUUAAAAAUCGUUUUAUUCAGAAAAGCUCGCACAAAUCGGACGAUGGAAGUAAUUACAUGAAAGAAAAGUGAGAUCGAAACGAAGAAAGCAGCGAUGUCUUGUUCUCUUUCGUCUCUAACUCGUCACUCAACUCGCUUGAUUCGUCUCUUCUCUUCCACCCCAUCAAAAAUUUAAAACCAGGUAUGUAUGUGUGUAUUUAUGUAUGUAACAAAUUAAGUUAAAAAAUGAUUUAAGAAUCAUGUGUUAUUUUUAAACUAAUUUAAUUGUACAAAGACAAUAAAAUCAUAUAUUAUUGGUUAUAGUAAAGAUCUAAAAUUUGAAAUAAAACGGGAAAUAUUUAAUUAUUAAAAAAUUUAAAACCAGGGGCGGUAUAAAAACUGUGGAUGGCAAAACCUGUGGGCGAAAUAGGCGGUUUUAAUCUUGUCCAUUAAACAAAUCAAAAUAUCAACGUUCAAGAUCUUCUAAUAUCAUACGUGAGGCGGCUAUAUAAAGAGUAUAACGAAGGAGAAAUAAAAUGUGUCAAUAAAAAGUUCGCAUAUACAAAUUGAGGUACGAGUCUUGUGAUUAUCUUAUAUUUGUUUAUAAUUUUUUUUUGAAGAGUUAGAUUUCUAAUACAUUAAUUUUAUUCUCUUGAGUGUGCAGAUUAACCAGUUGCGAUAAAGAUCCAAGCAAAUAAUUUACAACUCCUGUGAUUAGUGAAGACGCCAAAACAAUAUCAUAGCAUCUAUGCACGUGCAACAAUGAGAAUUCUGCAAGUGAUCAAUACAUAGUAUGAUCCUCUCGAAAUCCUGUAUACAUAAGGAACUUUUCUAAUAACUAUUAAUUUGAUUAAACUUUCUAAUUUAUGAUUGUAUAAUCUUGAAAACAAUUGCAGCCAGGGAAAGAAUUUUUGUUGACCGAUCAAAAAGGAAUGUUCGUGAUACAUCAAGGUUUUUUAUGAAUACUUUUUUGAAUUUAUAAUAUUGAAUCAUGUUUUAUUGAUUCAUGAUGAUGUCUAUAUAUGAUAUAUACAAUUUAAACAGGAACUGAGAUCUCACAUGUAAUUAUAUUGUAAUUGCAGUAAUUUUUAAGAAGCUUAUGAUGGGAGCAAGAAUUUUGGACUUUACCUCCUCUCUAAAUGAAUUUAGUUUGAUUAAUCAACUAAGAAUUGAGCAGAGAAGCCCAUAAUCUGUGUUGAUUAAUCAACUUAGAGAGGAUAAA
rnacentral:lncRNA from 1 species